rnacentral:tRNA from 2 species
UGGGGGCGUAGCUCAGUUGGGAGAGUGCUUGACUGGCAGUCAAGAGGUCGUGGGUUCGAGCCCCAUCGUCUCCAUC